AUACGGCAGAUUCUUGAAUGGGAUCUCCAGCCGCCCAGUGCGUGCCACCUGGCUCACCUUCCCCGGAGCCAGGCGGAACGGGCCAGGCGCGGAUGGGGAUCCGGUCCAAGAAUCGUCGGGUUUAAA
rfam:Arthrobacter crystallopoietes BAB-32 contig165, whole genome shotgun sequence.